CUAGUGCACUGCCUAUCACCCUACUUACCGUAACUGAAUACAGCCUAGGGUAUACCCAGCAUCUGUACCCCCUCAAAGAGCUAUGAUCUAGAACAAGAGAAGAGAAAAGUCUACUUUACCUGAUUUUGCUCUGCUAUCCUACCUGAAAUGAUUGAAAAGGACAUCUUAGAUGGUCAGUGAGACCAAAUCUCCAAUCAAGAUUAACUAAAGAAAGAAAUGUCAACCGCAGGAGAGAAGAGAUCUCCUACUAUUCAUAUUAUACAUGUCACCCAGUACUGAGGACACACUGUGCAACAAGAAGUGUAUUCUAGACUAUGUCUCAUUCCUAUAGCAACUCUGCAAGGACGCUCUCAUUAUCCCCAUUGUAAAUAUGAGGAAAUGGAGGCCCAGGGAGUUCAAUCCACCUGCCUAAUACCAUACAGCCAGGAUGCAGUAAAACUGGGACUCAAACCCACAUCCACCAAAGUCUGUGCCCUGGUAAUCCUGAUGAAUGGUCAGGGUUAGACAAAAGCAACCCUCUUCAGGAAGAAGACAGAUAAUAUGUGUGCCC